UACAGAGACUGCAAGCGUUUAUUCGGAUUCACUGGGCGUAAAGGGUGCGCAGGCGGCCAAGUGUGUUAGGCGUGAAAGCCUGGGGCUUAACCCCAGAAUUGCACCUAAAACUACAUGGCUAGAGCAUUGGAGAGGGUAGCGGAAUUCACGGUGUAGCAGUGAAAUGCGUAGAUAUCGUGAGGAACACCAGAGGCGAAGGCGGCUAUCUGGACAAUUGCUGACGCUCAGGCACGAAAGCGUGGGGAGCAAAAGGG
rnacentral:rRNA from 1 species